AUUGGACGCUGGCGGCAUGCUUUACACAUGCAAGUCGAACGGUAACAGGUUAGGCUGACGAGUGGCGAACGGGUGAGUAAUGCAUCGGAACGUGCCCGAUCGUGGGGGAUAACGCAGCGAAAGCUGCGCUAAUACCGCAUACGAUCUGAGGAUGAAAGCGGGGGACCGUAAGGCCUCGCGCGAUCGGAGCGGCCGAUGUCAGAUUAGGUAGUUGGUGGGGUAAAGGCCCACCAAGCCGACGAUCUGUAGCUGGUCUGAGAGGACGACCAGCCACACUGGGACUGAGACACGGCCCAGACUCCUACGGGAGGCAGCAGUGGGGAAUUUUGGACAAUGGGCGAAAGCCUGAUCCAGCAAUGCCGCGUGCAGGAAGAAGGCCUUCGGGUUGUAAACUGCUUUUGUACGGAGCGAAAAGGUCCUUUCUAAUACAGGGGGCUCAUGACGGUACCGUAAGAAUAAGCACCGGCUAACUACGUGCCAGCCGCCGCAGUAA
rnacentral:rRNA from 1 species